rnacentral:rRNA from 1 species
UACGUAGGGUGCAAGCGUUAAUCGGAAUUACUGGGCGUAAAGCGUGCGCAGGCGGUUAUGCAAGACAGAUGUGAAAUCCCCGGGCUCAACCUGGGAACUGCAUUUGUGACUGCAUAGCUAGAGUACGGUAGAGGGGGAUGGAAUUCCGCGUGUAGCAGUGAAAUGCGUAGAUAUGCGGAGGAACACCGAUGGCGAAGGCAAUCCCCUGGACCGGUACUGACGCUCAUGCACGAAAGCGUGGGGAGCAAACAGG